ensembl:lncRNA
CGGCUUUUUUAUUUGUUUCAAUGUUCCUAAUGGGUUCGUUUCAGAAGUGCCUCACUGUUCUCGUGACCUGGAGUUAACCGGAACAGCGUCUUCAUUCAUUUCGUGGGGACAAGAUCAAGUCGGAGGAAGCCAGGGAGGGGCCCCGCACCACCGCCCACCACCCCACCUGCAGCUGGAUCCCCUUUCCUGCCCGGCCACGCGCGCACAUCGCAUCGAGGCCAGGGGAGCGGGCACGCCGGUGGGACAAGACCGGGUGCUGCUGAGCUUCCGUCCAGCGCUCUUUUGUUCUGGGAUUUGACGUUUUUCUUGACCGCAUGUUGGUUUUCUUUGGGGGAGGGUGUUUGUUUUUAAUUUAGUUUUGCCAGGGGGAGGGGAGGAAGAAGAGUGUUUACAAAGUUUUGCAACCACCCACCUUCCUGUUUUCACUUUUGCAAAUGUAAAUUGGGUUUGGUUUUGUUGUAUUACUUAACGGUUGUGGUUUCCUUUUCUACGGAGGAUGCAACGGAGCCGCUGUAGGAGGGUUUUACCAGCCAUUUUGUACGCCCAAUAAUUUGUUAUAAUUUCCUUAGGUGGUGACAAGAUUUGGGGGUUUGGUUUCAUAAUUUAAAGGUAAUCAAGAGUGCACUCGGAUAGGAUCUUGCACAUUCGUGUGUACUAGUGGGUGCCCGAGAGAGGAAGCACGCAUGAAGCACACACAGGGUCUCUGCGUGUGUGUGUGUUGUGUGUGUGGCAGGUGUCUGUGUGAGGACGUGGUCCGUGCCCACCAGUUAGCCCACGGCUCCCCGUUUCAGGCCUGUGGGGAGAUCCGAAUCUGGGGCCAUUUGAAAGCAAAAACAAACCACUGUCUCUGCUUCUGAAAUGGGAAUCAGUAACUCUUUUGCAUUUUCUGUCCCACAAGAUAUGCAAAAACAAUGCAAUAAUAUUCAUUUUAAAAAAUACAAUUGUGAGUUGUGUUGGCAUUAAAGCUGUAUUUAAAAAAACCACACAGAAAUUUAAGGGAAAAACUCAGAAGGCGUUUUGCUUCGAUUUGUUCCGUGUAAUGUUUUACUGCAUUGAUGGUGUUUCUGCUGAAGAGACCGUUAUACUUGAAUUCAGGUCAGUCUCAGUAUUUUACAAAUAUUUUUUUAAAACUGAAUUGCAAUUGUGCCAAGCGAAUAUAAUGAAUUGAAUUAAGUUUGUUUUUGAAUUCACUUCUUGUAUAUUUGCUGCAUGUAAGUAAAUCAUUUUGUAUUUGGAGUGUGACAAGCUUUACCUUUGAGCUCUUAAGUGCUUUCCUACAUGUGGUCGGGAAAAGGGAACAGCUUUUCCUUUCAUGUGUGCGACAAGUGUGGGCACCACUUGUGUGUGGGGGGGGUCCUGACGCAGGCUUGAGCAUCACUGUUGCGCAUAUCUUGUGUUCGCUUCUGUUUCCCUCAUUUUCCCCAAAACUCGGUGGCAGUGCAUCCGUAUCUUGCUUUGAGAGACAGGACUCAUUCCAGACCCACUCCAUCCACUCCACCCCAGUUGUCUUGAUUUGUAAUUUCUUCAGGAAGAGCUCCUCGCUGUGUGCGGCCCUGAGAUGCCCUGACCAGCCUCUUUCGUCACCUGCUGGCAUCGGCAUCCCCCAUGGGAGAGGUGGCAGCACACGUGUUCCUUAGGGAAGUGUUCUCUGACCGGAAGGAUGGAAUGGUUGGAGGGGAGGGCAUCCUCGCCGGGCACGCUCUGCUCAUACCAGAUCCCUGAGCUGGGCAGCUGGGAAAAUCCUUUCCGUCCAAAGCCAAGGCCGUCCUGCUCACUUCUCCACCUUUCACUCACUCUGGAGCAGGAUUUGCUCCAGCCAGCCCCUCGUAAGUGGCAGCCAGGGAGGAACCAGGAUGUUGGGAGUGGGAGCGGGAUCAGAACCCGAAGCCUCUCGGGGUGUCUCUUUGCCGCUACCUGGAUGUCACCCAGGGUGCCGCUUCCUUCAAACAGACUACAACAGUGAUGGUUGGAAAGGGACCAGUUUGGAGGAAACAGGACCCAACAAUUCAUCUGGAACUUUCCCAUUGAGCCUCCUCCAGGCCUGGGGCUCUUUCAGCCCUUCCUGGCACCUCCUUACGUGAGCAGUUUAAAAAUCAAAGCCGGGGACGCCCGCUCCUCAGUGAAGAAGAUUUUACUCUGAUGACUGACGUGCAGGCUGCCAGGUUACCUUACAGCCUGGAGACCGAAGAGCCGCUCCCUGUUUCUCCACGUCCAACCCUUUCACAUUUUCUGGGCUCCUUGUCGGUGCCAUCGAGAUCUCAAGAAUUUAAGUUCAGGUCCUGUGUUUCCCCAGAUGUCCCCCACUGUGCCACCACAAGAUUUUAGUUGUAAUGGACAGAGGAGCCCUUUGGGGUUAAUGCCUGGUCCUAGCCGUAUGCUUGGCCGCUGGAGAGACAUUGGAACCUUAACUGACCUCACACAUGCACACACUCGGCCUUUUUGUGCUGCCUCCUGUCUUCUUUUUGGACUUUCCACCUGCAUCACCUGCCAGCUCCUGCUUGGCGCACGCAGAGCCCACCCUCACCCUACACGGAGCCCACCCUUGCCCCUCCGCGCGCAUGUGCAGGUUUGCUUCUCCUUUGCCUUAAGCUCUGUCUCUGUCGGGCAGAACUAGGCGUCCUCCCUGCGUGCGGGGACACUGUCAGCGUGGCAAGGGCACUCAAGCCGCCGUGAAGGGAAGUGUCUCAGGUGGGAGGGCCCUGUGCAGGAGAGGGUCUCGGGAGCCUGAGUGCAUGACUGACCAGUGCAGGCUGGACACGCGACACGUCGUUCUGAGCCUCUUCCACUGCGUGGCCUCCACCUCUGCAUCCAAAUAGAACCUCCCCUGUGACCUCGUAAACCAGAACCAGCAAGUCUUCUGAAAACCCUGAGUGGUGGGAGAAAAGCCACGAUGCCCGAGGACCCCAAGGACUUGAAGAGUUCAAGUUCCAGGGUCUGGCAACCUGAUUUGUUGUCCCCUGGCUGGCAGCCUCUUGUCUCCAACCUGGUCUUAAUAGCUACUCGCCUGCUGGGUUCGAUUCCCAGCUGUCUCCUGUCUACCCCUUCCUAGAUGGUUUUUUAGGUCUUGGAGUAAAAAGGAAGACUUUCCCCCAGAUUUCAGCUUGAUUCAUGAAUUUUUCUCUGCUUUGCUGCAGAAGUUCUUUGUCCUGGUCCCUUCCCCGGUCUUCUAAGUCUGACUAGAGACCCAAGGACAAAGGGACAGCCCCUCCUCGCUUCAUCUUUAUCUUUCUCUGCGCCCCUGCUCCUGUCCCCAGCCUCAUCUGGGGAGCUGCCCAGCAUGUCUCCAGGAUAUCUCCAACUGUUCAGCUGAGGGGACCCAGCAGAAGUACCUCUUCCAAGGCCAGUGGGACUUCUUUCUGAGGAAGAAGAGCACCCAAGAGGGAAGGACUUGGAGGUCAUCGAGGGAUCGGAGCGCUUUUCCAGGGGCCAGUUGAUACAUUCAGGCCCCCACCCCUAAAGGCCAAGAAAUAGGAGAACCUAGAGCAGGUGCAAGGAGGAGCCAGUGGGCAGGGCUCGUAGCCUCAUAAACCAUAACCACGGGUGCAGCUAAGGAAGUGACGGCCUGGCCGCCCUCGAGAGAUACCUGAAGAACUGGCACAUGACUGUCUGAGAGUCAGAAAUGGUCAGCAAAGAGGUCAAGGAAAGGGGCCUGGUUUCAACCCUCUCAGCCCCCAAGUUAGUCAAACACCUGCUGACAGCAUCCAGGCUGGUUCCGCUUUUUACGUACCUGGCUCUGGUCUGGGAAAGGUGCCAGCCCAGGACCUGCAGGGAAGUGGGGGCCAAAAUGCCCCCCAUAUGUCUGGUCUCAUCUUAUGGAAGAAAGUGUCCUGUACCCGCUGUGGCCAGGACAGUGGACAGGCUGAGCCCUCAAGCAUCCACUUUGGAAGAAGAGAAAAAUAAAACUGGGCUCUGGCCUUGUUUCCAGCCAACCCCCCUCCUCUCUGGGAGCACGGGGUAUCUGCCACCACGUCCCCCGUCCCUCAGCAUGCUAGCCAGUCUGCCAUCCAGAGCGGGUUCCAGCAGGAUGGAAGGCAGAGGGGAGGCCCUGAGCUCGGCCGGGUUUCCCACAGCCUCAUCUGAGUUGGGAUGGGGCCUCCCCUCCCCUGCUCUUUUCCCUCCUCCCCCAGGUCAGUGAGUACAGAUUCUGACAGAGUUUCUUCAUGAAGCCGUCUCUGGUUUUAACUUUAUCUUUUUAUUUAUUUAUUUAUUUAUUUUUGUUUCAAAGCCAUGAAAUACUGCUCUGUGGGGCCAGAUAGCAAGCCAUCAGAUUUCCAUGCCGUUGGGACACCUGAGCAGCACACACACACACACACACACUCACUCACACACUCUGACCCACAUGCACACGCACACAGGCACGCACACACCCUUAGUGGGCAGGUGCUGGAGCUCGGGACUGAGCGGAGACUCACAGCUUUGUCCUUGUCUUAGACGGCUGGGCGCUGGCCAGGCGCUGACCAGACAGGGAACCAGGGGCACUCCCCUGGGUGGAUGCGAGCCGUGGGGACCUGUUAUUACUGUGAACUAAGUAUCAUUUCUCUUCAUUGAGAAAAUUCCACCACCCUGCCAAUCAAGAAUGUUCCCCCCACCCCCGUGACUUAAGGAGACUUGGUCCACGCAGACAGGUGGUAAAACCCCGAAGGCUCCCUGGUGUCUUAGAAAAGCCGCCGGUGGGCAUCUGCAGCCCAUGUAUCCUUGUGUUGGGCAAAUGAGUUGAAGCUGAGAGCAGAGUCAGAGGUGAGAUUGACCGUGAAAACCCCCUUUCUCCACUAGAUGAGGUAAGACCAGAUCAUGGGACGAUCUUGGCUGUCACAUUCAGAUCAGGCGCUGGUCUGGCCACAGGCGCCUCCACUUCUUGGGGUGUCCGGGCACCCCAGCUUUCAGAAUCUAAGUAGUCUUGGUAUGGACACGGCCCCUAGGAAGGUAGUGUGAUGCUUAAUCCACACGAAUCAGGCGUUUGUGACCAAUUUGCCACCUGAGAUGACUCGUGGGUGAGAACGCGUCUCACCAAGGUGACCACAGAGCCGCUGUGGGCCAGGGGAGGGUCGUGCCUGUGGAGGAGAUACAGGUGGGCACAGUGGUUCCUGGUCACCGUGAGGCCUGGAGGGCCUGCGUCCCACCGUCCUCAGCAUCCCGGGGGUUUGUAAGGGAGGUGAGGGAAAAGGUGGCGCCAGGCAGGAGCCGGGAGGCGAGGCGUCACUGGUGCCCCUGCCUCCCAAGAUUUCCAACGUGGAGAAGCCACCCCCAGGCUUAAGAGGGGAAAAAAGAGCUUGAGACCCGACGGUUUGUAAGCAAGGGGGGCUCCCAAAUGCCAUGACCCCUCGCUGCCCGCACCCUCCGCCCUGAGUCGGCACAUUCCACUUGCGCUCCAGUUGCCAGGACCCCCAUCCAAAGGCGCAUGUCCUCCCCUGCCCCCACUGCUGCCCCAAAGCCUCGUGGGAAGAGGGUCUGGCUCCGGAGGGGGUGCUGUCCAAGGUAUGAGCAGGUUUGGACA